UGAUGCCUCUUCCAGAAAAAACAAACCACA
rnacentral:piRNA from 1 species